CAGCAUGUUUCCAAGGGCUGUGGCUGCUGGUGGCCACGGGUUCUCCAACGGCAUGCAAGAAUAACAUGGAGGGGGAACCAGCAGUUAGCCUAAUGACUAUGUUGCUGGACUCCCACAUAG
ensembl:snoRNA